UAAGCAUUAACUGCCAGCAUUACAAAACAGACCUGACUAUACACUGGCGGGGGACAGGGAUAAUAAAGCCGGUGGGGGAUCCGUCUCAGGCCACGGAUGCGGAAACGCUUGAGGUCCUCAAGUGCCGGGAAGGGGAGAGGCUGCUUGGUGAGGUCCCUGCGUCCGGACUACCUGAUGCGUGGAAGUGCCUAUUGCAGCAGUCUGGAGGGGGACUUGGGAAUGGUGGACCUACUCGCCGCACGCUGGAGACGGCCCAGGGUGGCUUGGGUGAGCCUGACUCUGGUUGGUGCCGGGACGUUUUUCAUCUGUUCACGGUGGCGCAUGUGCAGGG
rnacentral:lncRNA from 1 species